GAUGAACGCUAGCGGCAGGCCUAAUACAUGCAAGUCGAACGAUAUUUUCCAGCUUGCUGGGAGAGAAAGUGGCGCACGGGUGCGUAACGCGUAUGCAACCUACCUUUAUCAGGGGGAUAGCCCGGAGAAAUCCGGAUUAAUACCGCAUAAAAUCACAGAACGGCAUUGUUCAAUGAUCAAACAUUUAUGGGAUAAAGAUGGGCAUGCGUGUCAUUAGCUAGUUGGCGGGGUAACGGCCCACCAAGGCGACGAUGACUAGGGGAUCUGAGAGGAUGGCCCCCCACACUGGAACUGAGACACGGACCAGACUCCUACGGGAGGCAGCAGUAAGGAAUAUUGGUCAAUGGAGGCAACUCUGAACCAGCCAUGCCGCGUGCGGGAAGACUGCCCUAUGGGUUGUAAACUGCUUUUAUCCGGGAAUAAACCUCCGAUCGUGAUCGGAGCUGAAUGUACCGGAAGAAUAAGGAUCGGCUAACUCCGUGCCAGCCGCCGCAGUAA
rnacentral:rRNA from 1 species